UGUCACAGUUGCUUGUCUUUAUACCUGUUGGAGGCAGAUUUUGUGGGAAUAUGAUUCUUAAUGGUUAGGCAUUGGAACUGUUUGCUUGCAGUGUUACAGUGGACCGGCUCUGUAUAGCUAAACUCAGCAGACUGACUGGCUGUUCCAAGGGACAUAUUUACCACUGGCUUAUCCCAUUUGAAGAUGUCACUCAGAGUUCAUUCAAGUAGAGGUCUGAAAAAACUCGAUCUUUCUGGAUAAAAGUCCCAGAAUCACGUACAAUUUGGUUGGAAGGGAUUGCUGGAUGUCAUCUGCUCCAUUAUCAUACUCUAAGCACUGCUGCCAUCAGAAAGAGGGAAAAAAAAGAGAAGCAGAAAGGGGCCUACAGAUAGGACCUGGUUCUGUGAAGGCAUGCCAUGCAUUGAGUGAUUGCAUAUUCUCAUUUGAUGAGCACAAUGAGAAUUCUUUUUCUGAUGCCAACAGCGUGCGUUUCAGUGAGCCUUUGCCUCUAAAAGUCCUUGAGCAGCUGCUGCAUUCACAAGCUAAAGAAUGGGGAUGGCUUGUUCCUACUGCUCAGUAAUGGCUAUGCCAAACCAGACCCUGCUUUGGCACAAAAGGUGGAGGCAGGCUGCUGCCACGAUGCUGCAACCCUCCCAGCUACAGAAAACAUCAGGAAAUCAGUGGGCACAUCUGCCAUAAACUUACCAAGAAUAUCUGCAAUUUUAAAUAAAAUGGAAGAACUAGAUUUGUGCCCUUAUAAAAAUAAAAGGAAAAUAGGCUAUCUGGUAUUGAAUAAAAACUAGGCAUCCUCCUGAAAAAUAAGUGUUUAGAAAUCUAUUUUUAUUCCACAUGGAUGUCUGAAUCAAUGAAGCCAGCUAACUUUCAAGCUAAUAAAACAGAGGUAGGAAAGAAUUCAAAAAGCAAACCAAAACAGAAAGGGAGGAGAGGGUCAGUUUGCUAGCAUUCAGCUAGGCUAGCCUGCAUUGCUAGUUAUCUGAGAAAAUUCAACCAGAGUAAAGGGUGGUAUUUGCAUUUUUGGGGCUGCUGGGGAUUGGCACUCUUAUUCUACAUACAUCAAAUGGGCUUUUGUUGGACAUAUAUAUAAAUACACCUCUCCUCACAGUUUUCUCUAAAGCAGCUUCAGUGUAUCUUCAUUAUCACUCAACAUGUAGAUAAAUAAUCUUUGCCUUGCCUACCUUAGGAUGUGUAAACUGGAAAGAUGUUAGCACACCAAGUCUUUGUGAUCAUCUCCGUUCACUCUGACAGUUGCUAAAGGUAUCUCAUCCAAAAUGACAACAAAACAGCACCCCAUGGAUCAAAUCAUAAGCAAGACAUAAUAUACCAGGAGCC